rnacentral:rRNA from 1 species
AUUGAACGCUGGCGGCAUGCUUUACACAUGCAAGUCGAACGGCAGCACGAAAGAGCUUGCUCUUUUGGUGGCGAGUGGCGAACGGGUGAGUAAUGCAUCGGAACGUACCGAGUAAUGGGGGAUAACUGUCCGAAAGGAUAGCUAAUACCGCAUACGCUUUGAGAAGGAAAGUGGGGGCUCUUCGGACCUCACGUUAUUCGAGCGGCCGAUGUCUGAUUAGCUAGUUGGUGGGGUAAAGGCCUACCAAGGCGACGAUCAGUAGCGGGUCUGAGAGGAUGAUCCGCCACACUGGGACUGAGACACGGCCCAGACUCCUACGGGAGGCAGCAGUGGGGAAUUUUGGACAAUGGGCGCAAGCCUGAUCCAGCCAUGCCGCGUGUCUGAAGAAGGCCUUCGGGUUGUAAAGGACUUUUGUUAGGGAAGAAAAGGAUAGUGUUAUACCAUUAUCUGCUGACGGUACCUAAAGAAUAAGCACCGGCUAACUACGUG